GCCUAACUAUAACAUAACAAUAAAAUUACCCAUUGUUCGCCAAAUAACUACGAGUCAAAACUUAAAAUUUAAAAGACUUGACGGUACCUCACACCAACCUAGAGGAGCCUGUUCAAUAACCGAUACCCCACGAUUAACCCGACCCCCUCUAGCCCACAGUCUAUAUACCGCCGUCGCCAGCCUACCUUAUGAAAGAAACAAAGUAAGCUAAACAGUCACACACUAACACGACAGGUCGAGGUGUAACUUAUGGGUGGGGCAGAAUGGGCUACAUUUUCUAAUACAGAAAAUACGGACAAACUAUGAAAAAGAAACUGAAGGCGGAUUUAGCAGUAAACUAAGAACAAACAUACCUAGUCGAAAUCUGCAAUGAGGUGCGUACACACCGCCCGUCAUCCCUGUCAACCAACUAAAGACAUACAUAAAUAUAAAACACAUUUAAAGCAGGGCAAGUCGUAACAUGGUAAGCGUACUGGAAGGUGCGCUUAGAAA
rnacentral:rRNA from 1 species